AAGCUCGUAGUUGAAUUUCGGGAUUGAUGCAUCGGUCGUGCCUUAAGGGGUAUGAACUGGUGUGGUCAAUUUCUUACCUUCUGGUGAAUUGUGAUGUCCUCCUUAAUUGGGUGUUUCAAUGAACUAGGACUUUUUACUUUGAAAAAAUUAGAGUGUUUAAAGCAGGCAUUAUUUGCUUGAAUACAUUAGCAUGGAAUAAUAAAAUAGGACAAUGAUUCUAUUUUGUUGGUUUCUAGGAUCACUGUAAUGAUUAAUAGGGAUAGUUGGG
rnacentral:rRNA from 1 species